rnacentral:rRNA from 1 species
CCUACGGGCGGCUGCAGUCGAGAAUCAUUCACAAUGGGGGAAACCCUGAUGGUGCGACGCCGCGUGGGGGAAUGAAGGUCUUCGGAUUGUAAACCCCUGUCAUGUGGGAGCAAAUUAAAAAGAUAGUACCACAAGAGGAAGAGACGGCUAACUCUGUGCCAGCAGCCGCGGUAAUACAGAGGUCUCAAGCGUUGUUCGGAAGCACUGGGCGUAAAGCGGGCGUAGGCGGUUUCGUAAGUCGUGUGUGAAAGGCUCGGGCUGAACCCUCGGACGGCACAUGAUACUGCGAGACUAGAGUAAGGGAGGGGGAAGCGGAAUUCUCGGUGUAGGAGUGAAAUGCGUAGAGAUCGAGAGGAACACUCGUGGCGAAGGCGAGUUCCUAGACAUUAACUGACGCUGAGGCACGAAGGCCAGGGGAGCGAAAGGGAUUAGAUACCCCGGUAGUC